AACGAACGCUGGCGGCAGGCUUAACACAUGCAAGUCGAACGCCCCGCAAGGGGAGUGGCAGACGGGUGAGUAACGCGUGGGAACGUGCCUUUCGGUUCGGAACAGACCCGGGAAACUGGGAUUAAUACCGGAUACGUCCUUAGGGAGAAAGAUUUAUCGCCGAAAGAUCGGCCCGCGUCUGAUUAGCUAGUUGGCGGGGUAAUGGCCCACCAAGGCGACGAUCAGUAGCUGGUCUGAGAGGAUGANCAGCCACACUGGGACUGAGACACGGCCCAGACUCCUACGGGAGGCAGCAGUGGGGAGUAUUGGACAAUGGGCGCAAGCCUGAUCCAGCCAUGCCGCGUGAGUGAUGAAGGCCUUAGGGUUNUAAAGCUCUUCGGCGGGACGAUAAUGACGGUACCCGCAGAAGAAGCCCCGGCUAACUUCGUGCCAG
rnacentral:rRNA from 1 species